ACAAGAUAGUGCCACGCAAGCUAAAAAGGAGUAGAAAAUUAUUGAUAAAAUAAGUUCAGGGGGGUAAUAGGACCUUAGUAUAGUAUAAGUGUGUCUCUGAGAUUUCGGGCAUAGGUUGAGGGGGUACUUGGACAUUAUCCCUAUAAAUCAUAGAUAAGUUUCGUAUUUUUUUAUCUCAUCAAUCCUAAGUUCCAAGUAUCCUAGCAUAUUAAUAUGUAAUUAAACAAAGUGUUAAACACCCCUACACGCAAUGGAAAGUUGGCAUCCAAAAGAGAUUAUACCUCCAACGCUCUUAAUGACAAAGCUCAAUCGAAAUCCUUUUUUUUAAAAAAAAAAAAACUUAUGUAAUGAUAACCACACAACGUAAACAAGAUUUUAUCUCAAUUUUUAGAUGCUAGUCUCUGGUUUUUAAUAUGGAUUUUGUGUACAGACAAGUUCUGCAUGGUUUCACAAAUAGUGUACCAUUCAUAUUUAGGGCAC
rnacentral:misc_RNA from 1 species